GGUUAAGCGACUAAGCGUACACGGUGGAUGCCCUGGCAGUCAGAGGCGAUGAAGGACGUGCUAAUCUGCGAUAAGCGUCGGUGAGGUGAUAUGAACCGUUAUAACCGGCGAUUUCCGAAUGGGGAAACCCAGUGUGUUUCGACACACUAUCAUUAACUGAAUCCAUAGGUUAAUGAGGCGAACCGGGGGAACUGAAACAUCUAAGUACCCCGAGGAAAAGAAAUCAACCGAGAUUCCCCCAGUAGCGGCGAGCGAACGGGGAGGAGCCCAGAGCCUGAAUCAGUGUGUGUGUUAGUGGAAGCGUCUGGAAAGGCGCGCGAUACAGGGUGACAGCCCCGUACACAAAAAUGCACAUAUUGUGAGCUCGAUGAGUAGGGCGGGACACGUGGUAUCCUGUCUGAAUAUGGGGGGACCAUCCUCCAAGGCUAAAUACUCCUGACUGACCGAUAGUGAACCAGUACCGUGAGGGAAAGGCGAAAAGAACCCCGGCGAGGGGAGUGAAAAAGAACCUGAAACCGUGUACGUACAAGCAGUGGGAGCCUCUUAAUGGGGUGACUGCGUACCUUUUGUAUAAUGGGUCAGCGACUUAUAUUCUGUAGCAAGGUUAACCGAAUAGGGGAGCCGAAGGGAAACCGAGUCUUAACUGGGCGUUAAGUUGCAGGGUAUAGACCCGAAACCCGGUGAUCUAGCCAUGGGCAGGUUGAAGGUUGGGUAACACUAACUGGAGGACCGAACCGACUAAUGUUGAAAAAUUAGCGGAUGACUUGUGGCUGGGGGUGAAAGGCCAAUCAAACCGGGAGAUAGCUGGUUCUCCCCGAAAGCUAUUUAGGUAGCGCCUCGUGAAUUCAUCUCCGGGGGUAG
rnacentral:rRNA from 1 species